GACGAACGCUGGCGGCGUGCCUAAUACAUGCAAGUCGAACGCUGAAGGAGGAGCUUGCUUCUCUGGAUGAGUUGCGAACGGGUGAGUAACGCGUAGGUAACCUGCCUGGUGGCGGGGGAUAACUAUUGGAAACGAUAGCUAAUACCGCAUAAGAGUAGAUGUUGCAUGACAUUUGCUUAAAAGGUGCAAUUGCAUCACUACCAGAUGGACCUGCGUUGUAUUAGCUAGUUGGUGGGGUAACGGCUCACCAAGGCGACGAUACAUAGCCGACCUGAGAGGGUGAUCGGCCACACUGGGACUGAGACACGGCCCAGACUCCUACGGGAGGCAGCAGGAGGGAAUCUUCGGCAAUGGACGGAAGUCUGACCGAGCAACGCCGCGUGAGUGAAGAAGGUUUUCGGAUCGUAAAGCUCUGUUGUAAGAGAAGAACGAGUGUGAGAGUGGAAAGUUCACACUGUGACGGUAUCUUACCAGAAAGAGACGGCUAACUACGUG
rnacentral:rRNA from 1 species